AGCGAACGCUGGCGGCAGGCCUAACACAUGCAAGUCGAACGAAGUCUUCGGACUUAGUGGCGGACGGGUGAGUAACACGUGGGAACGUGCCUUUAGGUUCGGAAUAACUCAGGGAAACUUGUGCUAAUACCGAAUGUGCCCUUCGAGGGAGAGAUUUAUCGCCUUUAGAGCGGCCCGCGUCUGAUUAGCUAGUUGGUGAGGUAAAGGCUCACCAAGGCGACGAUCAGUAGCUGGUCUGAGAGGAUGAUCAGCCACAUUGGGACUGAGACACGGCCCAAACUCCUACGGGAGGCAGCAGUGGGGAAUCUUGCGCAAUGGGCGAAAGCCUGACGCAGCCAUGCCGCGUGAAUGAUGAAGGUCUUAGGAUUGUAAAAUUCUUUCACCGGGGACGAUAAUGACGGUACCCGGAGAAGAAGCCCCGGCUAACUUCGUGCCAGCCGCCGCCGUAAAAC
rnacentral:rRNA from 1 species